rnacentral:rRNA from 1 species
AUGAGAAGGAAAGGAGGCAAGGUCCUGACGGCGCUGGCCGCGGCGGCAUUCGGGUUCGUCGUCGGCAUUUCUUUUCCGGUGGUGAUCACACCCAAGCUUCAGUAUGGUGGCACAAUGCCAUGGUCGAGUAGCGGUGCUGCAAACUCCAGCUUCCUUGACAUGAGCAUACUAGGCAGACUAUGGGCGCCAUCCAGUCCAAAUCUCACGAUUUCAGCGUUUGCAGAGGUUGCAACAGCAAGAAAAGCUGAUGAAGGCACGGAGAGGCGGCUGCCACCGGGGAUCGUGGUUUCGGAGACCGACCUUCACCUGCGCCGGCUCUGGGGAUCCCCAACACAGGACAGCGCGACUCGCAAAUACCUUCUUGCGCUCGCCGUAGGGUACGAUGAGAAAGCCAAUGUCAAUGCAACCAUUCAGAAGUUCUCCGACAACUUCGACAUCGUGCUGUUCCACUACGAUGGCCGCACCACGGAGUGGGAUGAGGAGUUUGAGUGGUCCAAGGAGGUCGCGCAUGUCAGCGCAAGGAAGCAGACCAAAUGGUGGUUUGCCAAGAGGUUCCUGCACCCGAGCAUCGUGGCACCUUACGACUACAUCUUCCUAUGGGACGAGGACCUCGGUGUCGAGAAUUUUACCGCGGAAGCGUACCUUGACAUCGUGAGGAAGCACGGGCUAGAGAUCUCGCAGCCGGGGCUAGACGCAACCGAUGGGACGACGAAUUAUCAUAUCACCAUCAGGAGAAAUGACAGCGAGAUUCACAACACAGAUGCAGCGAGGGAAAGUUGCCGGGGCGUGCACAAGCCGCCAUGCAGCGGGUUCGUCGAGGUGAUGGCGCCCGUCUUCUCCAGGGAUGCUUGGAGAUGUGUGUGGCACAUGAUCCAGAACGACUUUGUCCAUGCAUGGGGUCUUGACUCCAAUUUCUGGAGAUGCGUCGAUGAUCCCGAAGAGGAGAUCGGUAUCGUAGAUGCGCAGUACUUGGUCCAUCAUGCGGUUCCCACACUCCAAGGCCAGGGUGAGAAAGAAAAGGAAGGAGGCCGUUCGGAGGUAAGAGCGCGUCAAUUUGAGGAGAUGCGCGCCUUCCGCUCCAGAGUCUCCGAUGCAGACAACGAACUCGCCAAUAGAACAUCAUCAAUACAGAACUAG